ensembl:lncRNA
GGAAGAGUGGUCUAAUCUGUAGAGAGGAAGACUGAUUGUUUAUUUUGUUCUGCCUGCUGCACACUGGUUUGCACUGUGAGCUGCUGGGAACAGAGUUGCUCAGUGGGAAGGCCUUUCUGGACUGUGUGAUGGGGUAGGGAGAGCAAGAAGAGAGGAGAAGAAGACCUCCCAACAAAUUAACUGUCCCUAUCAAGGGGAGAAGGCAGAGGAAAGUAGUGAUAAUAGCUAGCAAAUUUGCUCAAGACUACAAAAGAGCUGAAGUAUGGUCCUUUUGCUUCUCUGUGGAAAAGAGCCUCAGCUCUCAUAAACUGCUGUACCUACCAAGUGG